AGAAAAAGUUUGAAAUAGCAUAAUGAUUUAUAAGAAAUACACUGUUGAGCACAGAGUCAAUUAUUAAAAAUCUUAAUUUACAUCUCAAUAAAUAUAUAAUCGAACACAAAAAGAGCAGGCAAAUAACCUCUCAAAAGAUUUUUUUUUUAAAUGCGAGAUUGCUACAGACAAAUAACCACAAAUUGAGAGAGAGAAAGAGAGAGGAAAAUUGAUUAGUAAGUACAAAAGUCUCAAGAGUCGAAAUUAUAUUACAACUCUCGGAUUACUGGAGCAACUCAGCUGCUACUCGGAAGAAAGGAAAAAAUAAAACAAAAUUUUUGCACAAAACGAAAUUGACAUAAUUGAGAGUGUAUAUAUCAAGUAUAGGCUUCAUCGGCAGAGUUGUAGCCACUGGGAGUUUGAAGGGGUUGUAGAAGUGGAGCUCUCUCCUCCUUUCCUUGUCUUAGUCUCCCACAACAACUCACCAGCUGAUUUCAUCAUAGCCUUGAAGAUCUUGCUCUUGAUUUGCCCUCUUCUCGGUGGAAGGCUGUGAUUUGAGGCGUUGGAUUCCAUGAAGCAGAGCGAGAAACAGAGGAAAUGAGUGAGUGAGUGAAAGGGAGGAGCUGUAGUUGGAUCUAUAAAGAUGAGUAAGCAGGGGAAAUUCUUGGGCUCCAAGACUCAUGCUGAGUGGGCCAUCAUCGUAAUCGUAUGUGACUAUAAAUUUCAAACUUACUGUGCAUAAUAUACUACUCCUAUCUUCAUGACUUCAUCGAUGACGCUCACUAGUCACUCCCGUAUUCACCCACGUCACGCCAUAUUUAUUUCAGUAAUAUUUAUGUAUCUACUACCACGCUACAAUUUUUUAUUUUUAUUUUUAUUUUUUAGUUGGAAAAAAUAGACCGGGUCAAAUUGAACAA
rnacentral:lncRNA from 1 species